GCUCCGGUGACCUAGUGGUUAGAGCGUCCGCCUCAAAUGCGGGAGAUUGGUGGUUCGAACCCUUGCCGAGUCA